CCUACGGGAGGCAGCAGUGAGGAAUAUUGGUCAAUGGGCUUACGCCUGAACCAGCCAAGUCGCGUGAGGGAAGACUGCCCUAUGGGUUGUAAACCUCUUUUGUCAGGGAGCAAUUGGCGCUACGUGUAGCGUUAUCGAGAGUACCUGAAGAAAAAGCAUCGGCUAACUCCGUGCCAGCAGCCGCGGUAAUACGGAGGAUGCGAGCGUUAUCCGGAUUUAUUGGGUUUAAAGGGUGCGUAGGCGGAAUGCCAAGUCAGCGGUAAAAUCGCGGGGCUCAACCUCGCUCCGCCGUUGAAACUGGCGUGCUUGAGUGGGCGAGAAGUAUGCGGAAUGCGUGGUGUAGCGGUGAAAUGCAUAGAUAUCACGAAGAACUCCGAUUGCGAAGGCAGCAUACCGGCGCCCAACUGACGCUGAAGCACGAAAGCGUGGGUAUCGAACAGGAUUAGAUACCCUUGUAGUC
rnacentral:rRNA from 1 species